GCUUUGAGUUUGAAAUAGAAAUUCCUUUGUUUCAGUUGCCCAAAAAAAAAAAAAAAAAAAAAAACCUUUGUUUCCAGUUAAUUUAGACCGAAUAUGAUAUCAACCUGGGACUACGUGGUGGAGGGAUUUAAAGUCUUCGAACUUAACUAUCAUUCAAAACUUCAUACUUGAAAGCCUUCCACUUCAGAAACUUCGAAACAUCUCAAUUAUGGCCAAAACAUUCAGGUUUGGCAAAACAGAA